UUUCAAACGUCUGUCAAGGUCUUUAGAUCGGAUGCAACAUAUUUCCAAACAAUUUGCAGGUGAACAAGGAAGGUCAACUUUGUAUAGGCCGGAUAUGACGACCUCGGAAGAAAGUAUGCGAUCGAUAGAAGCAAAAGUCGUGGUUUUGGGAUCUCAAGGGGUCGGCAAAACCAGUGUUGUUAUCCGCUAUGUUGGGGGUAUGUUCAGCAAAGCUGUCAGCCCCACCAUCGGGGCAUCCUUCUUCACCUACAAGAUGACCUUAGACAGCUAUAGAGUGAAGUUACAAGUAUGGGACACAGCAGGACAGGAGCGCUUUCGUUCAAUGGCACCAAUGUAUUAUCGAAAAGCCAAUGCAGCUAUGCUUGUCUAUGACAUCACCUCACUGGAAAGUUUCUAUGACAUUAAAGACUGGGUCAAAGAACUGAAAAAGAAUGUGGAUACUCCCAUAGUGAUGUGCCUUCUAGGCAACAAAAGUGACCUUGAGAGUGGUCGAAAAGUUAGCACAGCAGAUGCUGCUGAAUAUGCCAAUUCUAUCGAUGCCUUAUUUUUUGAGACAUCAGCUUUAAAGAACACAGGUAUAGAAGACGCCUUCUUACAAGUUUCUCGACAGCUAAUUAAAUUUUAUGAAACAUAUCCUAACUCAGGACUUGGGAUCCUCAGUCCUCAGCAAGAUGUUACGGACAUUUUUUCAUCAAGUUCUGAAAAUGUGAGGCUGCCUACACGGGAGAACCAGCAGAAAACACCAGAGGCUGAAGGCUGUGGCUGCUGAUGUGUAGAAAACUCCAGAAAAGUGGAUCAUGUUCUUCUACCAACAUUUUGUAGAUCUCCCAUAAAGUCCAUUGGACAAGACAAAGAAAGCAGUGCAAACACUUAAAUGGUUUGGAACACACUGCCAGAGAAAACUUGGCACAUGCAGAAAAUAUAUAUGCAGUCUGGAUUUUAUCGUUCUCCCUCAUUUCUUGAUGGGUUGCAUAAUUAUCACCACAUAUCAUACCAUUGCCUCAUCUUGCUUGCUGUACAGUUGAUCAAAUUUUUAAAAUCAGCAAUAUUCAUUCAAAAUGCAGCCAGUCAAAUAUUAUUCAGUAAAUUUUACAGUGAUUCUGUUUCAUAUGGAUUUGAUUGUUAGCGAAGUGAGCUCUACAUUCUUCUUUCUAAACCUAUAACUGGAAAUAGCCUUCCUUAAUUGUUGGCAAAACAUACACAAGAUAAGUUUUUUUUUCAUGAUGCUGGAAUGAGUUCUAGUUUUCUGUCAUAAUAACCACUUAUUUUGAUAUUAUGUAAAGUGUAUAUACUAAUUAUAGUGAUGUUUUAGAGUGAAUGAAUGGGAUUUUUCUUAAACAGGGACACCACUCCUUCAUUUCAUCCAGCAAUUUAAAAUGAACUAAAAAAUAAGAAAAUUUAACAGAUGACAGUUUUCAUUGCUAAAGCUCCAUUUAAUUAUUAUGCAUUCACGCAGUUUUUAAAAAAAGUAUUUAACUGGUAUGGAUCCACAUUAUAAACGAUUCACCUUCGCAUGGAAUGUACUUACAAAUCCAGAUAAGUUUCCCUCAUUCUAUCACUCUAAAAAAAUGAAAUAUAUGUUACAACAUAAGAAAAUGCUUUUAGGUAACUUGAUGUAGAAAUUCCUAGUACCUCUACUUAUUUUCUUGUAUUUUGUGCCCAUCAGGUCUAGUCAAUUACAAAAAUUUAAAGAUAUGUUUGUUGUAAAUUUAUGUAGUUGUAAACUGAAUUUCAGUUUUGUUAUUAUUUUUUAGUGCUUGGAAGUUCUGUUUAUUGGUUUAUUUUCUUGUAUUGCUUAUAUUUGCAAAGUAUGAUUUUGUUGUAUGCCUGUAUGUUAUGCAGGUUUUUUUCCCUUGCACCAAGCAUUUUAGUCAUCUCAAACUUCUUGUCUGCCAGUUGUGUCCUGUCUUUUUUUUCUUCUUUAAAUCAGAUGGAUCAAUAUAUGAUACCUUGAUCUAUAUUUGUAUGUGCGGGAGUAGUAUUGUGGUGCUGGUUAGUUUGUAAAUAAUGAGGGUUGCGCUGAAUAUUUCCUGGAAAAUGCAAUAUUUUCUUUUAAGCUUUUUUUUUUUAAAAAAUAAAGUUUCUGCAAGCUACUAGGGAUCUAUUGCCAACAGAUGUAAGUAAAAUUUUUGAAGCUGAAGCUUGUGUGCAUGCCAGGUAUCUCAUCUGAAAGGGCAUGAGUCACAACAAGUUCCCAUUUUUAAGGCCAGCAAAAAACAAAAACAAACAGAAACAGGAAUAACCAAUGUUUUUGUGAACUUAUUUUAGUCCUCUUUUUUUUUCUGCAGGCAUCUAGCUUUUAAGUUUUACAGACUAUGUGAACUGUACAACUGAAAGAAGAAAAGCAGGUUUGCAUUUUGAGGUAGAUUGGACAGAAAACAGCAUUAGUUUCGCUUUUUGCUAAUUUGGCAAAUGAUAAAAUCUUUCGUCUUGAGCAGUUGCACUGAGAUAUUGGUGUAAUCCUUAGUCAUGUGGCCUUAAAAAAAUAAUUGGAGAAAGCAAUGGAGAACCAAUGUAAUAUAUUUGUGCUGUAAUAUAUAUUAAUAAAAGAUAGAGGUGAUAAGAUAUCUUCAAAGACAUGGGAGUAUGGUAGACACUGUUCAUUCUCUAUACAUGUCAAAGAUGUCUUUUAACACAAUUGUCCAUUUUAAGGAAGAAAAGAAACUUUAGAAAUCUGUUGUUGGAGCUGGAAAAAUGAAGCAUGUUAAGCCAAGUUACUAAUUAUAUGUUAUGUAAAAUAAUUUUAAUGUGUUUAUAAAACUUAAGCUGACAGUUUUAACAGGUGUUUGUUGAUUGCGCUUAUUUCAAAAUCUUGACCUGGGUUGGAACAAGUUUGAAUGUUUUACUGAGUGCAACUUAUUUCAUGACAGUUUUGAUUUGGGGCUGGGAGUUUUUUUUUCCAGAAAAGAUUAGGCCGGUAUAUUUUACAAUAUUUUUUUCUGUUGUUUUUUGCUUAAUAUUGACAACUUUUGUCAGAAGUAAAAACGGAGUGGAGUGAAGAUGAAUAAAAAUUUUAAAAAUUUGUUGCUGGAGUCUUGUGCUGUGGAUUGUUGAGGAGGUACUAUUUUGCUGUUUGCUAGCUAAAAUACAUGCUUACCUUUUUUCUAAACAUUGUAUUGCAUCAUAAGCAGAGUAAUUCUUUGCAAAAGCUGAACAUUUUCUUUACUUUGUUGUGAAAAUUAAAAAGCUAAGUAGUUAUUAAAAACAAGUACAAUCACUACAAGAAAGCCAUGUAUUUUCAUGGCAUCUUUUAUGUGGAGGGGCUCAGUGAAUUUCUACCAGUAAAAUGCCUUACAAUUCUUUGUAUUGAUCAGCUUUUUUUUUUUGUAAUCCUAUUUUAGUUCCUUAUAUUAAAUUUAUGCUGUGUCCAUUCUCAUUCCAGACAUCUCUCAAAGCUGUCAGCUUGGUCAAGCAUGCUGAUGGAGACGUAAUUAUACAAAUAGGGAGCUAAUAG
rnacentral:misc_RNA from 1 species